rnacentral:rRNA from 1 species
AGUGAACGCUGGCGGCGUGCCUAAUACAUGCAAGUCGAACGCAGUGGGGAUGGGUGAGUAACACGUGGGUAACCUCCCAUCAGAGGGGAAAACACUUGGAAACAGGUGCUAAACCGAUAUGGAUGGAUGGACGCGGUGUGCAUUAGCUAGUUGGUGGGUGAACGGCUCCCCAAGGACCCGAUGCAUAGCCGACCUGGAGGGGUGAUCGCCCACCCGGUGACUGAGACCCGGCCAAGACUCCAACGGAAGGCGUCAGUAGGGAUUCUUCGCCAAUGGACGAAAGUCUGACGAAGCAACGCCGCGUGAGUGAAGAAGGUUUUCGGUUCGUAAGACUCUGUUGUUAGGGAAGCGGUAUCUAACCAGAAAGCCACGGCUAACUACGUGCCAGCAGCCGCGGUAAUAC